UUUUAGUACAAAUAUGUCCCAUGUAAUAUUCGGGACAUACUUAUGCUAAAA
rnacentral:pre_miRNA from 13 species